ACACACACACACACACACACACACACACAAAUAUAUUGUACACACACAUAAAUAUAUUGUGAUAUACUAGAAAAGACUAUUCAAUAUAUUCACUAAAAUAUUGUAACGUUAGUUUUGUAGCAUCUGGAGCCUCAAAGUUUUGAUCUUCCAGCAAGCAAAACAAUAAAGAGCUGUAGUGCACAUUUAUAACAUUUGCUUCCCUAUGCUUUAAAGUUACUUUUGAUCAAAUUGCUUAGAAAAUGAUAAAGUAUAUAUGUUUUUAACACUGGUCAACAAACUGUAUUCCUUUGUAAAUGCGUACACAUUUUUGUGAGUUGUAAUGAGAUUCUAUCUGGCUGUUUCUCAUUAUGUAAUCACUCAACCUCAAUAAAUGAAUAAUAAAAAGUUAAUAAAGUCAGUAAAGAAUGUCAUUUUAAACCACUCUUUACAACCGUGGUGAGCAGAAAGUCAUCUCAGAACUCACAACACCUAGAACAUUAACGGGGAUGAGCUACAACAGCAGAAAACAUCACCUGGUUUCACUUCUGUCAGCCAAGAACAGGAAUCUGCAGCUACAAUAAGCACAGGCUCACCGACUCUGGACAGCCGAAAAUUGGAAAAACAUCAUCUAGUCUGAUUAAUCUGGAUCUAGAAUCUGCUGCGACAUGCAUGGUAUUGUCACAAUUUGACAUCGACAGCAUGAAUCCCCAUGAGCCCAACUCGCCUUAUAAAAACGUUUCAGGCUGAUGGUAGUGGCGUAAUGGCCGUAAUUCUUAUAACGUCUACUAUGCCAUAAACAUGACAAUGAGUUCAGAGUACUUCAGUGGCCUUCCUAUUCACAAGAUCUGAAUAAGGGGUGUGAUGUUGACAAUGGAUGGGAAUCUCAAGGGAAUGUUCAAACACCUCGAAGAACCUCAGUAAAAGAGCAAAGAGACAACUCGGGUUUGUCUAAAUUAGACUUGCAGUUGUCUUUCUCUCAGUUCUCACAUACUGGAUAAGCUUAGAAGAACUCCUGCAGUGGAUAAUUUAGCCAUUAACAGAUGGCUACCUGAAGAAAGUUGUAAUUGUGUCUGAUGAACACUUUUCUUACUGUUUAAUCAGGGGUCAUCGAGUUAAUUGUUAUCUAGGGUGUUGUGUAUUAUCAGUUGUUCUGUUGGAUUCCAACAAAUUCUUCGAUUCACCCAGCAAUAAUGAUUUACUCGUUAACAAAAGGAUUAUUUUCCUGGUUUAAAUAAUGGUCACACAACCGGCCAGGACGUAGUACGUCCUUUUAAGUGUAUUUUAUUUUACAUUCUUCAGUAAAAGUCUAGAUCAG
ensembl:lncRNA